rnacentral:rRNA from 1 species
CCUACGGGAGGCAGCAGUGAGGAAUAUUGGUCAAUGGACGAGAGUCUGAACCAGCCAAGUAGCGUGCAGGAUGACUGCCCUAUGGGUUGUAAACUUCUUUUAUAUGGGAAUAAAAUGUUCCACGUGUGGGUUUUUGUAUGUACCAUAUGAAUAAGGAUCGGCUAACUCCGUGCCAGCAGCCGCGGUAAUACGGGGGAUCCGAGCGUUAUCCGGAUUUAUUGGGUUUAAAGGGAGCGUAGGUGGAUUGUUAAGUCAGUUGUGAAAGUGUGCGGCUCAACCGUAAAAUUGCAGUUGAAACUGGCAGUCUUGAGUACAGUAGAGGUGGGCGGAAUUCGUGGUGUAGCGGUGAAAUGCUUAGAUAUCACGAAGAACUCCGAUUGCGAAGGCAGCUCACUGGACUGCAACUGACACUGAGGCUCGAAAGUGUGGGUAUCAAACAGGAUUAGAUACCCUUGUAGUC